rnacentral:snRNA from 1 species
GGAUGUGAGGGCGAUCUGGCUGCGACAUCUGUCACCCCAUUGAUUGCCAGGGUUGCUUCGGCUGAUCUGGCUGGCCAGGCGGGUGUCCCCUUCCUCCCGCACCGCUCCAUGUGUGUCCCUCCCAGAGCUGUGCACUCAAAGACGACCACCUCCAAUAGAGGAGGGCCAUUUCCUCAGUCAAGGGUAUACUGUAGCUGUGCUCCCCUGCUAAAACCUCCAAACAAGCUCUCAGAAUUGAUGGAGAAAUAAAAUACUUCCAUGAGCAAGAAAACCUGAAGAAAUUCAUGACCACCAAACCAGCACUCCAAAAUGUUCU